CGAUGUUUCUGUCGGUGCGCCCUAAUUGAGACCCCAGGUCAGGCGGGGCUACCCGCUGAGUUUAAGCAUAUCAAUAAGCGGA
rnacentral:rRNA from 2 species